CGCUAUCACCAAAUACUGGGGCCAGACGCUGUGCAACAUAACAUUGGCAUCAUAUUCAUGAGAUGGAGGAUUUUAAGAGAACUAGUGGGAUUCUUUACAGGUGUCACUGAGGAUCUAGCAACAAAGCACUUGUUGCACCAUCCCGCAUAUAGGCCUACAGCACCUCCUUUAAUUAGGACGACCGGUUACUAAGGAAUCCCUCCACACCCCACGACUGGCGUUCUAAUUUGUCUGGCAAGCUGGAGGACGAGCGCUCGGUGCGCUGUUGCUGCUCCUGUUGCUCUGGCGCAUGUGGCUGGAUUCCCAGGGAUCCCCAGUGUUCUGCAGCUUGCGCUCCUAACAUCUAUGACCCUUCAAAGAGGCCGUGAAAACGCAAAGCUCCUGUAGUCAAUAGUUGUCUACCAGUCAACCUUUUUGAAUACCAGGUCAAUAAAUGUAAAGUGUGGAAACAAUGAAAGCCACUUGACAGGCGCGUCGA